UACGUAGGGUGCAAGCGUUGUCCGGAAUUAUUGGGCGUAAAGAGCUUGUAGGCGGUUUGUCGCGUCUGCUGUGGAAUUUCGGGGCUCAACCCCGAACUUGCAGUGGGUACGGGCAGACUAGAGUGUGGUAGGGGAGACUGGAAUUCCUGGUGUAGCGGUGAAAUGCGCAGAUAUCAGGAGGAACACCGAUGGCGAAGGCAGGUCUCUGGGCCACUACUGACGCUGAGAAGCGAAAGCAUGGGGAGCGAACAGG
rnacentral:rRNA from 1 species